AGUGCAGUACGCUGAGUGAGGCAAUGUAUGGUGAUUUGUUUUGGCCAAUCAUGGCAAUCCUAUUCCAGAUUCCCCCUCCUUUGUUCUAGGAGUAGCUGAAUGAUCCAGUUCUGCCAAUGAAAUACAAAUAAACUCUGUCACCAUGGCAAAAGGCCAAGACAACUGCAUUGUGCGAGCCCUGACAUCUAUGAACAACUGGACACCAGCAACAGCCAGUAUCUGGAAUUCUUGUAAGUUUUGGCAGGUGAAGACAGAGGGAUAGCCAACAACCCUGAGCCAAGCUCUGUGGACAAAGCCAACACGCUGUGUCAAAGAAGCUGAGAGUUGAUCCUUUCCGCUAUCUCCCUUGGGGCAGAAUGAUAUCCAAUCAUAUCACAGGGAAGCUGAACCAGAGAAAGAGUCGUCCCCUGUGUGGAUGAAAAAGCCCUCCUCAACCAUCUGGACUGGAUCAGACCUUGGAUGUUCAUGUGACUCUGGAUAGAAGACGGUUCUCCCAUUGUGGCAGAGAGGAGCUUUCUCACCAGCUGGUCACUGAGCACACGGGAGCAAAUUCUGAGAUGGGAGACAGGAAGAACUGCAAACGAGUGACGGCCCAACCGCGUCUCCUGCUGGCCAGGGCUCCUCAGGUGCUCUGAUCCCUGUUCAGCACAAGAGGUGAUGCUUUAGCUCUUCCCUGGAGUAUGAAUCUCCCUGUACCAGAGACAGUGAGCUCACCAGCCAUUUUAAAAAUCAACCUGAGUAUAAGGACUAAGGCUCAUCUUUGCAUCCUACCACACUACUGUGUACCUUCUAAUGCUCUUGAUCAUUCACUAGGAUGAAGGCAAAAAAAUAAAUGAAAAUGAAAAAUUUGAUUCUGCUCCAGUAGGUCAGCCGGUGCCUCAGACUUGUCUUGCUAGAGAUCUCUCAAGCUCCUGGGGGAUGUGAUGCUUCUAGUUCACCAACCACCCUUGGAGGAGCAAGUGUGGGAUGUCCCUGUGUGAUGCAAAGGGUCACUACAGUUUUUAGAGCUUAAAAGGCCUCUGUGGGACCACAUUGGAUUUGGGGUUUUGAUCUGCUUGCCCUGAAUUCAACCUUUGAUUCACUUUCUUUGUCAGUGGAUUAGAAGAUUACUAUGACCUUGCAUCUUGUCUGGAAACCUCCUCUGGCAGCCUGCUAUCUCUUUAGAAAAUAGUUUAAAACAAAACAGCGUCCAAGAAGAAAUAAAUGUAACGAAUUUAUACUAAAACUGCAAAGUGCCUGGGUGGCUCAGUGGUUGAGCAUCUGCCUUCAGCUCAGGUCAUGAUCCUGGGGUCCUGGGAUGGAGCCCCGCAUCAGGUUCCCUCUGCAUGGAGCCUGCUUCUCCCUCUGCCUGUGUCUCUCAUGAAUAAAUAAAUAAAAUCUUUAAAAAGUAAAUAAGUAAAACUUGCACACUUUAC